GACUGAGAGGAGGCAGAGAAAUACUGCUCUGAAAACCCUCCUCCAGUGUACUGUAAUUGAAGGUUGAAGUCCUCCUCCCUUCCAGAAUGAGAUCACGAUGGGAAGGGAAUUAUCAGAGUUGUGGCAUGUCUUUUAACCCACGGAUCAUUUUGUUCCCACCUCUGAGUAAUGUGUUUCGGUUUGCAGCAUCACUGCAAGGGUGUCUGAGAUCCCCGAGAAAGCAGCUAUUUCACACUUUCUAAUAGUGUGAACAGCUUCUGAGAACGGAGAGCUGCUACACCAAAAGGAGACAUUCUUAUGUCCGCUUUAGGGAGUUGUAUCGGUGGGACAGGUGAACGUUUUGAAGUUGCUCUUCUUGAGCAGUAGGACUUUCUCUUCACUGCCUCAGCGUGAGUCCAUGGCGAAGCAGUCAAGGACCUGCAACGGGCUGAUUGCGAAGGCACGUAGCAUGCUGCUGAGAUCUGCCUGUGUUUUAGUCGCAGAAGGCUUUUUUCUUUUUUCACAUCAGGGAUGAAGACUGUAAAUAAACCAUUCAUAGAACUUAUCGUGGCUCUGUCAUACUCACAUUCUUUCUGUUGGACUGUCCCUUUGCUUUCCGUAUGAAGAAAUACGAGGCUGCAGGGAUGACACAGGAGUGGCCAGUGUCCCUUCCUAGACGUACCACUUACUAACUUACCAGCAGUGACUGACCUUGCRAGUCGGUCGUCUUGCCCUGAAGGGACUGUCUAGGAACAUUGUCCACUACAUAUUAUUUCUACCCACUAGAUGGAACUGAAGGACUGUGACCUGAGUUGACACUGAAUCUGUUGCUGCCUUACAACUCAAUCGAUCGUUGUGGGUUUUUAGGAGACAAGGAACACUGAUUUUUUUUUUUCCUGAUUAUUUUAAAGAAAGGGGAAGAGAAUACCAAUAAUAAAUAUUCAUGCUCAGUCGCAUUUUGAAUAUCCUGCGGCAGUUCCAAGUGGAUGCAGAUGAUACUGUCGAAUAGUAUAAAACUGUCUGGAAAACAGAGCUGUGCUGUGCUGCCUGCUCAGAAGCGAGUGGUGCCACGUAUCUGCCGAGGAAGCCGCUGUCACGAGCGUAAUAUCCYGCGGUCAGGGGACAAACAACAGCUGCAGUCUGGGAGCCCAUAAACACUGUAACUUGGUCCUUAGGUAAAGCUACAAAAAGGUAGGAAAACAAAUCAGUAUAUGGAAAGAGGAUGCUUUCCAGCAGUCCUCAAGUCACUCAGCAGGAGGUCAGGUUUCGACAACAGGGACAAAAAAAUGCACAUUGGUACGUGAAGCUUUGGAGGCCGCGAACGAACAGGAGCUGGGCUUAGCUUGGUAGCUGGAAACAGAAAUUUGACCUGCCUCUGAAUUUAAAGCAAAGAAGCAAUUUCUGAUUCAAGCAAAUUAGAGAAAUCCGUUGUGAAUAAGGAAGGAAUUAAAUAAGAGGCGAAGGAAGUGAGAUUAAUGCUCAUUUUUUCCAUGGCGGUCAGGUCAAUUUAAUCAGGUCUAUUUUGCAGUAAUCUCUCCUAAUUUUACCUAAGAAAGCACAAAUAAUAAAAAGCUGCUACCGAACUCA
rnacentral:lncRNA from 1 species